rnacentral:rRNA from 1 species
AUGAGUGUGUUAAGCUGGAACUGUCGUGGCGCGGGCAACGCUACGACAGUUCGCGAACUCCGCACUUUAGCGGAGACUUUUGUCCCUACCCUUCUAUGCAUUGUAGAAACACAAAUUGAUAGAGUAAGGGUAGAGAAUCUAGCUGCUACUAUUGGUUAUGACAAUGGCUACGUGAUACAUCUCCAACGUAUCUAUAAUUUUUUAUUGUUCCAUGCUAUAUUAUAUUCUGUUUUGGAUGCUUAA